CCUACGGGUGGCAGCAGUGAGGAAUAUUGGUCAAUGGACGUGAGCCUGAACCAGCCAAGUCGCGUGAAGGAUGAAUGCUCUAUGGAUUGUAAACCUCUUUUAUAUGGGAAUAAAAUGCUCCACGUGUGCCGUUUUGUAUGUACCUUAUGAAUAAGGAUCGGCUAACUCCGUGCCAGCAGCCGCGGUAAUACGGAGGAUCCGAGCGUUAUCCGGAUUUAUUGGGUUUAAAGGGGGCGUAGGUGGAUUGUUAAGUCAGUUGUGAAAGUUUGUGGCUCAACCGUAAAAUUGCAGUUGAAACUGGCAGUCUUGAGUACGGUAGAGGUGGGCGGAAUUCGUGGUGUAGCGGUGAAAUGCUUAGAUAUCACGAAGAACUCCGAUUGCGAAGGCAGCUCACUGGACUGCAACUGACACUGAGGCUCGAAAGUGUGGGUAUCAAACAGGAUUAGAGACCCCAGUAGUC
rnacentral:rRNA from 1 species